UCAAUCACCACGGUUUUUUUUUAAAGAUCUACUACUGCAUCUGAAAGUCAAGAUUGGUGACACCUAAGUGAGCUCCUGUGGAAUGAAAUCUGAAGACAUCCUCCUUCUUGAUCUCCAUGACAACAAGAGCUCCAGACAUUGUAUUUUCCCUUCCACGGUUCCUGCUUCAUUUUAACAAAUGACCAGCAGGUGGCAGGCGACCCACACGUCGCGCAAAGGAAGACACGUCAAUUAAUUACCAGGUCCUCGAAUUCGGGAUGAGAAACCAGUCUAGUUACAUCUUCACGGGAAGCAGCGACUGUGACCUGCUGUCCUCCUUUCAAACUUGCCACAGUUCUGUUAGAGCAAUGAUUAUAGCAGCUUAAAUCGACUUUCCGAUUAAAUAGGAUUUUCUCACACUUGACAGGACUGAAGUGUGCAUCUUGCUGCAUGUGUCAGUGUGAGUGUUAUAUUUAUCACACAUCUCUUGUGGGUUCUGUGUGCUUGGCAGUGUCGGGAUUUUAUAAAGAGUAAGCCCUUAAAUCUUGUCUUUGUUGCUGUUUGAGGUUUCAUGAACAUGAAAUAUCCAUGUUAAAAUUACCCCCUAGGAAGGAUUGCAGGGACGGGCGUGAAGGAGGUCCCAAAGGGAUAGAAACUCCACAGGAAGACCAACAGAGUCAACUAACCUGGGCCCUUGGGGCUCUUAGAAACUGAACCACCAACCAAAGACCAUACACAGGCUGGACCUAGGCUUCCAUGAACGUAUGUAGCAGACAUACAGCUUGAUCUUUGUGUGGGUCCCAAACAACUGGAGCAAGGGCUCCUCCAAAGCUGUUGCCUGUCCGUGGGAUGUGUUCUUCUAGCUGGGCUGUCUUGUUUGGCCUCAGUGGGAGAGGAUGCGUGGAAAUCUGCAGAGACUUAAUAUAUCAGGGUGUGGGGAAACCCAAAGGGGAUCCACCCACCCAGAGGAGAAGGAGAGAGGGGAUGGGAAGGGUGACUGAGAGAGGAGCAGUGUGCAGAAUGUAAAGUGAAUAAAUGA